UAAGGCCAACAGGACACUAACCUGUAUCUCCCAAAUGCAAAUCGGAUGCUUUCAUUAAGCUAAAGCCUCA
rnacentral:tRNA from 1 species